GGAUUGAACCAUAUUGGAUUGAGGGGCCAGUGUGAGCAUUGGCAUAGAAAAACCGCACUCUCCGUGCGAUCACCUAAUUCAAACAGAAGCAGAACACAGGCUGCAAAUCAAGCCAGAGCAAAGCCAAAUUUGAAGUGUGCUCGCAGUCUGAGCUUGACUUACUUUACAGAGUUACAAUGGGGAUGAAGUCAGGAAGAGGUGAACCAUGUGUGCCAAUUUGAACUCGCUGGAGGAUAUUACAUGUGAAAACUGACGCCCCUUUUUGGACAACUAUGGUGAAAGAAGAGAAAAAAUUAAAACAAGACCCUGUAUGACUUGUUACCAACUAUCAUGAUUAGUAUCCUCAUAUUAUCCACAAUUCCUAUGAAAACUGUUAGCUGUAUCAAAAUUCAAUGAUGAUUGGCUGAUUCAACACAUUAUAUUAUACAAAAGAAAUUGAUUCCUCAAGGAAGGGAUUAUUUUGCAUGGUGUCCUCACACCCUAAGUACCCUCCCUCUGCCCUAUUGCUUACACUGAGCAAAUACAGUAUAUCUCAUUGAGAUAAUUCUUUCCUUGCGUACAAAAGCUGAACUACAACUGCAUCAGGCUCAAGUAGAUGACAGACGUACCCCACGCCAUUAGAGCCAGAGUUCCUUGUAGUGGCAACAAAUACUUGAGUCUCCUAGCAUAAACUUGCUUCACUUUGCAUUUUGCAAAUUUAGCUGGUUCUAUGAUUAUUUCACUGUUUUUACUAUAUUGGAAGCCACCUAGAGUGGUCUUUUAGACCAGAUGGGCGGGGUAUAAAUCAAAUAAAUAAAUAAAAAAUUAAAAAAUAGUUAUUGGGAAGUAAACCUGGUCUUCAUUUGCUAGUUUAAUAGUACCAGGAGGGAAAAUGUUCCAAAACAGGACCUAUGCUGUAACAGCAGGAAAUCACAUUUCCUGUAACAUGUGAUUCAGCCAUGCGAUUUGUAGACCAAAAUCUCAACAGGGUUUGAAAGAGAGAGAGAGAAGGGUCAGGGAGAGGAUUUUUGGACUUGGAAUAAAGCAAUCAGAUGCUUACCCUCCUUUCUUUUGCAAUUUCCAGGGGUCUACCACAUGCGUUUUUUUAAAAAGGGUUUCCAAAGUAUAUUUAGAACACCAAUUGGGGAACGAUACAGUUUGUGAUGGAAAUGGACCAGGAACCAAGAAAUAUGAAGUCUGCAUUCUGAAGAACCUGUCCAGUGCUGAACCUGUCCAUAAUAUUCUCCAGAACCAAAAGAGAGAGAAGUAGAGAGCAUGAAAACACACUUUGAUAGAGGUACUUAUGUUAACAUCUAUAUCAGCCUAUGGAGCUGGGAAAAAAACCCAAAUAAAAAUUAUUUCCAUAUCA
rnacentral:lncRNA from 1 species